AAGACUAUGCUUUCAGGGAUCAGUUCUAAGUAUGUUACUAGAGAAGUUUCUCUGAUCAUGUAGAGCAUCCAAAACCAUGAGUAGGAGUCAGAGCAUCCUCUCCUGAGCAUGAAGUUGGUUCUAGCUGUUGCUUUUGCAACUGCCUUUUGCCAUUGAUAAUCAUUCUUCUCUUCCUUUGGAAGGGUUAGAGGGAGAGAAUGCAGUCCGAGUAGU